GCAACAGAGAUAGCAAAUCAUUUAUUUAUUUAUUUAUUUAUUUAUUUAUUUAUUUAUUUAUUUUAGGAAAGUCAAGUACAACAUUGGACUUCUUACAGAAAUCAAGAAUGCUAUCAACAAUUGGCUGGCACUGAAGAUAAAACUUGCUCAAAUUAAUGCUACCUAAUGUUGCAAUUAGUUUAUCAUUACUUUUUGAUACAUUUUAACCAAAUUGUUUUUUUUCUUUUUCUUUUUUUGUUGUAUUGAUGCAUUAUACAUAGUAGAAUUCAGUGCUGAAUAUUUAUACACACAUGCAAUAUAGCCAAGGGAUUCGGUCAGUUUCACUUUCCAGUACCUUCCUUUUCCCUCUCCUCUUCCCCUCUCUGAUCCUCUUCCUCUAAUCUUCUGGUCUCCCUUCUGUGUCCAUAUCCCUCCAUCUUAUAUUCCUAAUAUUUUUUUUCUGAGAAUUUCACUUCAAUUUCAUUUAAAUGCCCUUUUUUUAAAAAAUGAUUUCUCCCUCUUCUAGUUCUCUGUCCAAAACUUACAAAUAUCUUUUUCUUAGCUUUGUCACUUUAUAACAAAAUAACAACAAAAUAUAACAACAAAAAUAACAUCAUACACUAAACUGAAGUAAGGACCACAGAUAAAUAUUUUUCAUUCAACAUACAUACUUAAAAAGAAUAUUGAAGUUCCAUACAGAAUCAAUGAGCUCUAAAAUUAAAAAAUAACAUCCUAGGACACAAAAUGCUGGUUUGUAAGAGACAACAGGUGAGUCAGCAAGCUUUGUUACUCUGGGCAUAAUGUAAUCCCUAGGUGGAUCAGUGUGCUUAUCACAAAACCAGAAGACACCACCAGGAGAUUUUAACUCAGAGUGUCCCUGGUGGGUCUGUUUAUCCCCCCUGGGAACCAUGAAGUCUAACAUUCAUGUGGCCCAUCAGACUUUGUUCUAGCUGAAAACGUACAUCCCUGUUGAAUCUACACAACAGUCUUACGAAGUGGGAACUAUUAGCAUAAGCACCAUUGCACAGGAGAGGAGGCUGAGAUCAGAGAGAAUUGUUAUGCUCAUGAAUGAAGCACAUGUCCCUCUUGGAGAUGUCCACCUCCGAGCCCAUGCUCUCAACCACUGUGUGGUUCUGACUCUGAGCCUGGUGCCUCCACCUGUACAUGUAUCUUUGCGGGGAGAGAGGGUGUGGCAUUAAUGAAUUUCUGCAGAAGUGAGCUGAAACUGUUCCCACAUUCUAGGAGAGCGUUGUCUGAAACACUGAAACUUCCACCUUCCUUAGGCCUCAGCAGACCUCCGGCCUUCCCUGAUCUGCAUUUCAGGAGCUGGACAGAGGUUCCAAUGGAAAUGGAAAUAUCCAGUUCUCUAAGAACUAUUUUCAUGUCUGUUAGUUUUAUGCUACAAGCUAGUAAAGGAUAUGGGAAACUUCUCCUCCCACCAAAAGAAUUUAAAAGUAUAGAUGAACACAUAUUAACCAUAUUUUCUUUAAAGGUAGACUGCAUCUUGGCAUGAUUUGGAAAAUUUAGAAGUACCAGAAAUCUUAGAAAUUCUCUCCUUUAUUCCCUGAUUUUGAAGUUUGGAGUUAGAAAUGGAUAGUGAACGGGUUAGCCUCACACAGCUAGUUGGUCUGUGGCCCUGAUACACACAGUCCUAUUGCUGCAUCAAAUUAUAUUUGAAAUGGAGAUGCUUUUGUGUAGGAAAUGAUGUCUGCUUCAUCUAGUAAAAACUUGCAUCUCACACAUGCUAUGCAGUAGCUGUUUACACAAAUGUGAGCUGCACUUUCUGUACUCUGCUUUAUACCAUGUAUGAGAAGAAAGGUGAUCAAGUGUCCCUAAGGGAAUUCCAGGUCAUUCUUAGGUAGAUUUUCACCAAAUGAUUUGGGAGCAAUGGAGUCGGCGACAAGCGAGGACUGUCACAGUUACUUUGCGCUGUGUAACUGGGGCUCAGUGACCCAGGCAGAUAUGGUCACUGUGCUCUGGGUCUGUCUUAGGGCAGGACCCCAUCUCCUACCCCAAGCUCCACCAGGCAGUGGACAUUCACAGAAUCUGGCACACUUUAAAAUUAUUUUUGUUUUUAUUUCACUCUGCACAUCUCUGCUGGAGUAAGGUCCUAGUGGUGA
rnacentral:lncRNA from 1 species